UACGAAGGGUGCAAGCGUUACUCGGAAUUACUGGGCGUAAAGCGUGCGUAGGUGGUUCGUUAAGUCUGAUGUGAAAGCCCUGGGCUCAACCUGGGAAUGGCAUUGGAUACUGGCGACCUAGAGUGCGGUAGAGGGGUGUGGAAUUCCCGGUGUAGCAGUGAAAUGCGUAGAUAUCGGGAGGAACACCUGCGGCGAAGGCGGGUUGCUGGGCCGACACUGACGCUGAUGCGCGAAAGCCAGGGGAGCGAACGGG
rnacentral:rRNA from 1 species